rnacentral:tRNA from 1 species
UCCAGGAUGGCCGAAUGGUUAUGGCGUCAGGUUCUUAGCCUGAUUACUUGUGGGGUCGAGUCCCACUCCUGGCU